GCCGCUUCAGCCCCCACUUCUCCCUUCUCUCACGAUCUCUGCGACGGCGUCCGCUCGCCGCCGUGAUGGUAUCCCCGUGCCCGAGGAUUCACCCAUAGACAUCUGCCUCCCGUUCGCCUCCUACGAAUACUAAUCUGGUCCAUCGUCUUACUGGAUUUGAGACUGCAGUAUCAACAUACGCCUUCCCUUUCCCUCUCUCUGCUUGGUUCUCUUCCCGGUUAUUGCAGAUCCGUGUCUCCGCCACCGGUGUUCUUCACGGAUGUUGAUCAAGUCCACACUGCCAUCCCCGCCUCUAGGUUGCUUCCCUUUCUCCACGCCACCGCGGCCGCUCCAGGUCGCUCCGCUGCCGUUUCCGUAACGCUCCUCCCCAUACUUCAUCCCAUCGCUGGUCCUCAUCCCCAUCCCCGGCGGCGCCCUAGAUGGAGGUCGGCAGCAGGUAUACCUAUGGCGGCCGUGCCCAACAGUAUCCACGGCGGCACAGGUAUCCUCCCCGUCCUCCUUCUCCUAUCCUUUCUCCUCCGCGUACGACCCUCGUCCGCCGCGUCCCACGCACCUCCAGUACUGCGGGAUCCAUGGUGGCGCCCAGCGGGAUUCAUGUAGGCGCGGCCACCAUAGCCCAGCCCCCUCCACCGUGCCCCCCUUCCUCCCGUCCUAGCCCUUCUUCCCUUUACUAUUUGCUAUAGAACAAAAGGGAUGUUCAUGUGUGACUGAUCCACGCCAUCUGCUAUAGAACAAAAGGGAUGUUGUGGUCACAAUCUUGAAUAAUGCGGAGAGAUACACAAACCUGUAGAGGAUGGAGGAAGUGACUCGGUGGUCAACUAAUAGCUAGCACACAAGCAUGCUUGAUAUUCCCUGAUCUAUUUGUACGUGUUUGAUGUGUAGGCAUUGAGGCACAUGCAAAACAGGUGAGCAAUGAGCCCGAGCAGCUUGCCAAAGGUGAGGGCACACAUAAUCUGUGCCACAAUGUCUGGCAUCUCCCUAAUCCAAUUCGCCAAACAAACAUCAAAUCAAUCUGCAGAUUUAUGAUUUAUUCUCUCCCUCUCGAUGUAAGCAGAGUUUUCCAAUGCAUUUCUUUUCUUGUAUGUAAACCAGACUCACAUGGCUUGGAUAUGCAAUUGCUUGAUAUUGUUUUCAUCCCAUGGAAGCUCUUGUGGCCUAAUGGGCAAGUACCACCAAAUGUGAUUACUUAUGUGCUGCCUAUGACCAUGUAAUUUAACUUACGCAUCUAAACUUAACUUAUUAUUUUUUUAUUCUUAUAGUAUAUUUGAUUCUAUGUCUGAUGGGCAUUUUCCUUUUUGAUUGCUUGCACAGCUAAUUGAAACCCCAAUGGAAAAUUUCAAGGAUUAUAUCAAGGUAUAUGUUCGACUCUUUAUGUUCAUUUUGAAUUUCUCAUAUUUUACGAUGAAGGUUUUUAUACGUAAUUCUCUGAUUACGCUCUGCAAACAUGCAUUGGUUGUCAAUAUGUUAGCUGUCCACACUAACAACUUACCUUAGUAGUGCACUUCUAUGUAAUAACAUCAAUGCUGCUGGCCAGGUCCUUUCAUCUGGACCCAUCAGUUUUCCAUAUCUCAAGAAAUCUAAACAUUAAGUUUUCAAACUUGAGUAACUGAAUUUCGUUUGUCCAAAUGAGAAUUGUGUAAGUUGUACAGACUUCCUGUGAUUUCUUUACCCAACUCAUCUUACAGAUUUCUUUACACUGAUGCUAGCAUCACACAGGAGGUUGUUCAUGUAAUCAAAAAGUGCUACAAGAAUCUAAAGCCCAAUUGAAAUCAUUUUUUUUACCCAAAAUGCAACUAAGCUGCAGCUUCUUUUCGGCAGCUCUACACAUGUUGAUACUCUCCUACCAAAGCUGGUGUACUAAGAAUUAGUGAGUACUGCUAAACAUGCAGUGUGUUAUAUCUAAGUUAGUUGCAUGCCAUGUUGAGUACUUGCUUUCGUGGUUCUUAAUUUCAGGAUUUGUUGCCUGGUUCUAUAAUUUUUUGGAUGAUACUAUUGAGAUGCAGCCGUGUCACUUUGCCCCUAAUAUUUCUACACAUCUUUAUUUUCUCUACCCGUGUGCUUCUAUUCUGUGUGACUCAAAUGUCUAAACAUUGUUGUCUUAGUUCUGGCCAAGGAAAUUCAGAUUAUUGUCAUCUAAGGCUGUGUUCGGCAACCCUCCACUCCUCUGUCACGGAGCGGAGCGGGCGGAGCAUCGUCUUAGCUGCUCCAUAAAUUACAACUGGAUGCCGCUCUGCUCUGGAACAGAGUUGCGGAGACGGAGGGAGUCCGAACAGGCUCUAAGUGAUCUCUAUGUUAGCUUCAAGGUUAGCCUUAAUAGUCAAUGGGAGGUUUAUCCCAAAUAAUAAAAUGUAGAUAUGGAAAAUGGAAAUAUAGCAGAUCUUGUUUGUUUAGGUAAGCAAUGUUAUGAUUUGAAUACCUAAAGUAUUCAAGUCCAAGGUUGUUUUAUGUGUAGGCUUACUCAAGUGUAAUCAUCAUCUAUGUUUAUGAACAUGAUUUUCAAAUUUCAGUAAGUUUGGAAAGGCUACAAUGGUUGCUCAGAGUAAGUUUUGCAUUGGUGUUAUACUGUUAGUACAUUGGCAUGUAGAAUAUUUUGUCUUGUGAUGUGUAUUAAAUCACAUUUCCUUCCUCUUCUGCUAUAUUGCAGGGUUCAAGGCUUCCUGACAAGUAACCAUAACCAUUGUUCAGGUAACUCCUGAACUGCUUGUUGCUCUUGAGUAAAGUGAUGCCGAAGGAUCAAGGGUGUUUCUCAAUCAAGAGCUAUUAGUUACCUUGACCAUGUUGCAUCUCUUCUGAUUUCUUCAGUUAAAAGGUCAUCGAUUGCUGAAUUGUGCCUUCAAUGCUACAAUGGAUUAUGAUUUGUAUAUCGGUAAUGCAUAUAAAUGAAUUCUGUCAGUAAAUGUGGACAAAUGAAUUCCACAACUA